rnacentral:rRNA from 1 species
UACGUAGGGGGCAAGCGUUGUCCGGAAUCAUUGGGCGUAAAGAGCGCGUAGGCGGCCCUGUAAGUCCGCUGUGAAAGUCAAGGGCUCAACCCUUGGAUGCCGGUGGAUACUGCAGGGCUAGAGUCCGGAAGAGGCGAGUGGAAUUCCUGGUGUAGCGGUGAAAUGCGCAGAUAUCAGGAGGAAUACCGGUGGCGAAGGCGGCAUCCUGGACCGGCAUUGACGCUGAUGAGCGAAAGCUAGGGGAGCAAACGGG